AAUUUUGAAAACAGAAUUGGUGAAGACGUAUUGUGAUAAAUACUCUUUUAAAAGGGAAUCAGGUGUAAAUCCUGAACAUUACCCGAUGCUGUAAGUUCCAUUACAGAUUUUUACACACUUUCGCCACUGUUUAUUAAAAACGGGAAGGCUGUAAAAAUUGGAAUAAGUCAGAAGACCUGCCAUUUCUAUAAGUUUAAU
rnacentral:ncRNA from 2 species